AAAAGAANNUUGAAAAGAGAGNUAAAAAGUGCGUGAAACCGUUGGAAAGGAAGCGAAUGGAGCUUGCAAUUCGCCUUGCGGCUUUCUUUUUAGACGACGCUUGCACGCUUGCGAUGCGCGAUCGGUGCACUUCCGCCUGGCGAAUGUCAACGUCGGUUUGCGCGGAGUCAGAAAGCUGCGAGCACGGUAGGUCUCUCGGGAUCGGCAAGGCUUGCGUGCACACGGCUUCGUUCGGACCGAGUUCUGUCGCAGCACGUACCUGCAGGUUGAUGCGUUCGUCUUUGAGCCGGUUUAACGUCGUCUGGCGGACGGCUUUGCCUGUGCGUCGGCGUGCGGCCGCUCAAACGAUGGGCAAAGCAUACACCGCGUGCUAAGGACGUUGACUCCUCGGCGGCUCCAUACGACCCGUCUUGAAACACGGACCAAGGAGUCUAACAUGUGCGCAAGUCUCAGAGUGAUCGAAACUCGUUGGGCAUAAUGAAAGUGAAUGGAGAUGAGAGGCUGUCGUAGCGGCAUCAUCGACCGACCUAUUCUACACUUAGAAAGGUUUGAGUUAGAGCGCACCUGUCGGGACCCGAAAGAUGGUGAACUAUGCCUGAAUAGGGCGAAGCCAGCGGAAACACUGGUGGAAGCCCGUAGCGAUUCUGACGUGCAAAUCGAUCGUCAAUUUGGGUAUAGCGGCGAAANACUAAUCGAACCAUCUAGUAGCUGGUNCCCUCCGAAGUUNCUNCCAGGAUAGCUGGANCUCGGUGGCAGUUU
rnacentral:rRNA from 1 species